UGCUGGCGGACCGGAGGCCUCGCUGCUGGCGGACCAGAGGACCAGGAAUCAAUGGCUGGAGGAGCUGCUGGAGGAGCUGGUGGAGGACGACCAGGACUCUACCAACAAGGAUUCCUGGACGCUGAUGGAAUCCUGUUUGGUCCGGGCAGACCAGCCUGAGCUGAGCCCACCUGAUCCUGUUUGGUCUGGGGCAGAGCUGAACCCACCUGAUGCUCACAUCCUGCUGGUCCCGUCUCCUCAUCUCAUCUGAGCCUCGUCCUCAAGAACUGCUGAGCUCCUUCAAGUCUGCAGUCUGAGGCUGAUUGAUGAAUGACCUCCUUAACCUUUUAACACCACAUGUACCCGUGUGCUUCCACACGCCUUUCCCACACGUCUGUCACUUACUCACCUCACUAACUAACCUCACAACUUCACUUUCCUCUCUACUCCUUCCUGUUGCUCUUCCUUCUCCAGGGUUCGAACCAUUACUCUGAAGGAGUGUCUUCUUGAACCUUUACUCUGAAGGAGUGUCUUCUUGAACCUUUACUCUGAAGGAGUGUCUUCUUGAACCUUUACUCUGACGGAGUGUCUUCUUGAACCUUUACUCUGAAGGAGUGUCUUCUUGAGCCUUUACUCUGAAGGAGUGUCUUUUGCCCUCAGAGGGUUCAGUGUUAGGGUUCAGAGUCAGGGUUUAGAGUCAGGGACAGAGCUGGUUAGGACAAUUGAUUUUCACUCAAACGUAUUCAUUUGCUUUCUGAAUGGUUACACCAUUUAGAAAAAUGUAUUAAGGAAAUGUUUUUCUGUGCUAUGCUGGGCCGGAGGCUGGAGGGCCGGAGGCUGGAGGGCCGGAGGC